GACGAACGCUGGCGGCGUGCCUAAUACAUGCAAGUAGAACGCUGAAGGAGGAGCUUGCUCUUCUGGAUGAGUUGCGAACGGGUGAGUAACGCGUAGGUAACCUGCCUGGUAGCGGGGGAUAACUAUUGGAAACGAUAGCUAAUGCCGCAUAACAGUAGAUGUUGCAUGACAUUUGCUUAAAAGGUGCAAUUGCACCACUACCAGAUGGACCUGCGUUGUAUUAGCUAGUUGGUGGGGUAACGGCUCACCAAGGCGACGAUACAUAGCCGACCUGAGAGGGUGAUCGGCCACACUGGGACUGGGACACGGCCCAGACUCCUACGGGAGGCAGCAGUAGGGAAUCUUCGGCAAUGGACGGAAGUCUGACCGAGCAACGCCGCGUGAGUGAAGAAGGUUUUCGGAUCGUAAAGCUCCGUUGUAAGAGAAGAACGAGUGUGAGAGUGGAAAGUUCACACUGUGACGGUAUCUUACCAGAAAGGGACGGCUAACUACGUG
rnacentral:rRNA from 1 species